UAGAUACCCUGGUAGUCCACGCCGUAAACGAUGUCGACUUGGAGGUUGUUCCCUUGAGGAGUGGCUUCCGGAGCUAACGCGUUAAGUCGACCGCCUGGGGAGUACGGCCGCAAGGUUAAAACUCAAAUGAAUUGACGGGGGCCCGCACAAGCGGUGGAGCAUGUGGUUUAAUUCGAUGCAACGCGAAGAACCUUACCUACUCUUGACAUCCAGAGAACUUUCCAGAGAUGGAUUGGUGCCUUCGGGAACUCUGAGACAGGUGCUGCAUGGCUGUCGUCAGCUCGUGUUGUGAAAUGUUGGGUUAAGUCCCGCAACGAGCGCAACCCUUAUCCUUUGUUGCCAGCGAUUCGGUCGGGAACUCAAAGGAGACUGCCGGUGAUAAACCGGAGGAAGGUGGGGAUGACGUCAAGUCAUCAUGGCCCUUACGAGUAGGGCUACACACGUGCUACAAUGGCGCAUACAAAGAGAAGCGACCUCGCGAGAGCAAGCGGACCUCACAAAGUGCGUCGUAGUCCGGAUCGGAGUCUGCAACUCGACUCCGUGAAGUCGGAAUCGCUAGUAAUCGUGGAUCAGAAUGCCACGGUGAAUACGUUCCCGGGCCUUGUACACACCGCCCGUCACACCAUGGGAGUGGGUUGCAAAAGAAGUAGGUAGCUUAACCUUCGGGA
rnacentral:rRNA from 2 species